rnacentral:rRNA from 1 species
CGGACGGGUGAGUAAUGUCUGGGAAACUGCCCGAUGGAGGGGGAUAACUACUGGAAACGGUAGCUAAUACCGCAUAACGUCGCAAGACCAGAGAGGGGGACCUUCGGGCCUCUUGCCAUCGGAUGUGCCCAGAUGGGAUUAGCUAGUAGGUGGGGUAACGGCUCACCUAGGCGACGAUCCCUAGCUGGUCUGAGAGGAUGACCAACCACACUGGAACUGAGACACGGUCCAG